AUUCUGUGGUAAGGACACUUCCUUAACAAAUCCUUAAAUGUCUCUCAUGCAUCAUAUAGAGACUCCCCACCGUUCUAGUGGAAAUUAUAUAUUUCACUUCUCAACUU